GAUGAACGCUGGCGGCGUGCCUAAUACAUGCAAGUCGAGCGAACAGAUGAGGAGCUUGCUCCUCUGACGUUAGCGGCGGACGGGUGAGUAACACGUGGAUAACCUACCUAUAAGACUGGGAUAACUUCGGGAAACCGGAGCUAAUACCGGAUAAUAUAUUGAACCGCAUGGUUCAAUAGUGAAAGACGGUUUUGCUGUCACUUAUAGAUGGAUCCGCGCCGCAUUAGCUAGUUGGUAAGGUAACGGCUUACCAAGGCAACGAUGCGUAGCCGACCUGAGAGGGGGAUGGGCCACACGGGAACUGGAACAGGGCCCAAACCCCAACGGAGGGCAGGGGGAGGGAAAUUUGCGAAAGGGGCGAAGGCCUGACGGAGCAACGCGGGGGGGGUGAAAAAGGCUUCGGGGUGGGAAAACGCUUUUUUUGGGGAAAAAAAAAUGUGUAAAUAACUAAGCCCUUUUGACGGGACCCUAAUCAAAAGGCCACGCUAACUUCGGG
rnacentral:rRNA from 1 species